AAGAAACUAGCCUAUGGCUUCUCCAAGG
rnacentral:piRNA from 1 species